GUUCAAAUCUUUUGGAAUUUUUUUUUUUUUUUUACAAAUCUAAAGUAAUUCUAUAUAUAAUUUAAUCGGUUCAAGAUGAAGGAUUAAAAAUCAAUUAAUAUCUGAAUAAUAAUAGUCAAGUAAAAAUAAGGCUUAAUUUAUAAAGAAUUAUUUAUUUGAAGUAAAUAGUACAAGUUACAAAUUCUUCAAUAUUUGAAGCGUAAUUUAAUCUUCCUUUGAACGAAUAUCGUAAAUUCACGGCAGUAUUAUUAUUUUUUUGUAUAUACUAUUUGUUACAACCAUUGUGAAGUGUGAAAUAGUUUAAUAUCAAGAAGUAAACAUCAACAUUUAUUAUUAGUGGGGAGGAUUAAAUCAAAGACGUUCCUCAUAAAUAUAAAUGAAACACUCUUAUAUUCGCAGUCGAGAAAGUUAGUUCAAACUGUGAAAUACGAAAAUGAAUAUUUGAUAGAGAAGUGGUAUUUCUCAAGGAGGUUCGACGACAAUUAAAUUAAUAUUAUUAAAGUUUGAACGUAUGAAAUAUUCAAAGAAAUAAUAUGGAUAAUAUAAUAUUUCAAUAACACAAUCGGAUAUGGAAAAUUAUUUACGCAAAGUUACAGCAAAAGUAAAAUUCAAACAUCAUUUUGAUAAAAUAUAUUUAAGAAGUUUAACUCUUUAAGAGUUUUGGCCUGAAAAAAAUAAAUAUUUUUGAAUUAAAAAAUCUUAACGAUAUUCACCAUAAAAAACGAAUUUUCUAAAAAACUUUUAUUUAUAUUAUCAUGUGUAUAUCAAAUGAAAAGAAAUCUUACUAUAUAAAUUUUAUAAGAUAAAAAUUUUACA